AGAAUCAACGCUGGCGGCGUGCCUAACACAUGCAAGUCGAACGAGAAAGUGGAGCAAUCCAUGAGUAAAGUGGCGCACGGGUGAGUAACACGUGACUAACCUACCCUUGAGUGGGGGAUAACCUCGGGAAACCGGGGCUAAUACCGCAUAACAUCGAGAGAUCAAAGGAGCAAUUCGCUUAAGGAGGGGGUCGCGGCUGAUUAGCUAGUUGGUGAGGUAAUGGCUCACCAAGGCUAUGAUCAGUAUCCGGCCUGAGAGGGCGCACGGACACACUGGAACUGAAACACGGUCCAGACUCCUACGGGAGGCAGCAGUGGGGAAUUUUGCGCAAUGGGGGAAACCCUGACGCAGCAACGCCGCGUGGAGGAUGAAGUCCCUUGGGACGUAAACUCCUUUCGAUCGGGACGAUAAUGACGGUACCGGAAGAAGAAGCCCGGCUAACUUCGCGCCAGCAGCCGC
rnacentral:rRNA from 1 species